UGUCAACUGUCAUUCUCUAUCUCCUUUUCAAAGCUAGUACAUUACAGUAAUUACGCAAUUUUGUUGUAUAAAACUGUGAUAUACUAUUGAAAUGGAGGCGUGCCUUUAUCAUCCCUGAAAUCAAGUAUCAAGUCAAGUGUAACAAACACUUAGUUCAGUACAAAAACUGCAGUGAGCAGCAGGUCAUCAGCGAGACAAGAAAGUCGUAAGAUAGUGGUUAUAGUAUCACUCUGGUUAAUUUUGAAUUAUUAAAUAUAAACGUUUUUUGCAUUUUUAUAAAAUGGCCCAAACUGAAAACGAUGAAGAAAAUAUAUCCAUGCGACAGAAAUUUCUCUUAAUUACUGUAAUUGGUGGCUUAAUAUUUGUAAAAUAUUGUACAAAUAUUCAUAAUUUUAUAGAAUCAAAAAUACUUCCAUACAGAAAUGUUAUCUUAGUAGCUGCAAUGGUGACUUUAUUAGUCGUCUUAGCCACUGUAUACUUUCUGGUCCAAUUAUAUGUUAAUUCAGGAACUGAAAGAACGAGACAAACUAAGUCAGUUACAAGAGUAUAUGGAAUUUCCCUUGCUGGAUUAUGUUUCUUGGUAACAAGUUUAACAUUAAUGUGUUUAUAUAAGACAUGGGACGCAAUGAGAUUUCCAUCAUUAGAAAUUUGUUUGAUAGUUUUAAUUGUGGCUUCUUUAACAGCCUCUGGAGUUGCUCUGUUUAUAGCAGUACAGUCUGUUAAUAGUACCAACAGGAGAGUGAAAAAAAGUUCCAAAGAAAAUGGAAAUAGAAAUUGUUUGCUUCUUCUUCUAGUACCCAGUAUUUUAUUUUUAAUUUGUAAAGAUAAUUACUCCUUUAUAGAAGAAAACAUUAUUCCAUUCUGGAUUUCAAUCUCAGUAUGCUUUUUACUAGUUUUUAUAAUAUGUUUCAUAUUUGUAUCUUUGUUUAUGCAUUACAUCAUACGAACAGUCAGAGAAGGUAAACCAAGCAGAUAGGUACGAGCAAAUAUCUUCAACAGGACUAGGUAUUUUUCAGUGUUUCAGAUUUAUCGAGUUUUUUAAGGUUUUUUUAUUUCACAAAAUUGUUUCACUGUUGGUGUGGAUCUUGUGCUUUGCUUUAGGAGUAAUAUAUUUAUCGAUCCUAGUUUGUAUUGCGGAACUUGUGAAAGAUAGAACUUCCUGGGUAAUAAUGCCGACUACUGUUAUUGUGAGUUUUACAGGCGCAUUUCCACUUGCUCUAUAUUUGGUAUUUUCCUCCAAUGAGAAUUAUAAAAUAAAUCAAAGACGUGAAACGAAAAUAUAUAGACAAAGACGAAAUUGAGCAUCUAAAGAAAUCAAUAACUUCAGCUAUUAUAAGUGACUGUUUUAUUUGUUAACUGUUAUAAUUGUUUUUUAACAACAGGAAUUAAUAUAGUUGUAGAAAUUUAUAAUAUGUCAAUAUCAUAAAAAUACAUAUUCCAAAAAUAAAAUAUAUCAUCAAUUAAAAAAAAAAAAAGGUUUAUUGUGGAAAUAUAUAUUCAAGCACAAUUUAUUAUGUUAUGUUAGAUCCUACAAUUCCUACAUAAAAUACUGCAGCCCAUGUGUCUGAGUUUUAAAGAAGAUACAUGCUUUGUUUUGUAAAGAUUGUAUGCUAUAUAACGAAAACAGUCCCAGUUUGAAUUAAAAUUUCGUGCUGAGAAAAAAAACCAAUUUGAAUUUGAGAAAGAUUAAUUCAGAAUGUUAGUCAGUAACAUGGGCAAACACGUGUAUAGACUUUUAGUUAUUAGAGGAGUCAUUUUCUUCAGGAACGACCAAAGUUAUUCAGAAGAAGCUUCACGCAACCAACAAUACAACUGUUAGCAAUCUUUGAUAUUUACUACUUACUCAAUGUCAAUGUAAAGUACUAUAAUGUAUAACAUAUGUACUUACUUCAUAUAAUAAAGAACUUUACUUGUUACAACAAAACAGAUAACUGUUUACUUUUUCAAAACAGGGAAUGACGUAUCAAAGAAAAAGCACUUUCUAAAUUACAAAGUUGUACGAGCCCAUUCGGGUUAAUUUAAGUGCAGUAGGAUACGUCGAAGCAGUACUGGAACCAGUUGGAAUUCUGUACCUGAGGGAGUUAAAUAGACCCCUAUUUCAGCAAGACAUGCACACCCACACACGAUAAAAGUAACAACACAGUAGGUACCUUCAACGAAAUAAUGUUGAAGUUAUCCCCUGGCCUGCUCGUUCACCCGAUUUAUCACCAAUAGAACAUUUGUGGGAUAUCAUGGGUAUCUUGGUACCUUACAGCAAUGCCCCGCAUCGUCUGAAUGAUUUUCGUAUGCGGCUUCAGGAAGCUUGGGACGAGAUCCCACAAGACGCAAUAAGUCACCCCAUCUCGAGCAUGCCUCGCCGAGUUAAUGCGUGCAUAAACAAUCGUGGUGGACCCACAUAUCAUUAAAUAACAUUUUUAUUUCAUAAGUUUCAGCCCUGAUAUUUUAAUCAUUGAUUUUGUUCAUUUUUAAUACACAUUUGGUGAAAAUUUCAGUUACAUUAGUCAACUCCUUCAAGGUGUUCGGAUUUUUAGGAAAGCCAGUACACACCUACUCAGUAUUAUAAAAGACCGAAUUGAUUUUUUUUUUAUUUUAUAUUGUGUUAAAACUUAUAUUCUUUAUUUUUUUAUGUUCCAAUAAACAUGUUAUGAAAAACAAGUAUCUACUUGACCCUUAAUUUUUUUUUAAUUACUUUGACAAUUAUUUUUUAA